rnacentral:rRNA from 1 species
UACGGAAGGCAGCAGUGGGGAAUAUUGCACAAUGGGCGCAAGCCUGAUGCAGCCAUGCCGCGUGUAUGAAGAAGGCCUUCGGGUUGUAAAGUACUUUCAGUCGUGAGGAAGGUGUUAAGGUUAAUAACCUUAGCAAUUGACGUUAGCGACAGAAGAAGCACCGGCUAACUCCGUGCCAGCAGCCGCGGUAAUACGGAGGGUGCGAGCGUUAAUCGGAAUUACUGGGCGUAAAGGGCACGCAGGCGGUUAAUUAAGUUGGAUGUGAAAUCCCCGGGCUUAACCUGGGAAUGGCAUUCAAGACUGGUUAGCUAGAGUCUUGUAGAGGGGGUAGAAUUCCAUGUGUAGCGGUGAAAUGCGUAGAGAUGUGGAGGAAUACCGGUGGGCGAAGGCGGGCCCCUGGGACAAAGGACUGACGCUCAUGUGCGAAAGCGUGGGGAGCAAACAGGGAUU